AGUCAAGUAAUUAAGUGCAUGUGGUGGAUGCCUUGGCAGUCAGAGGCGAUGAAAGACGUGAUAGCCUGCGAAAAGCUCCGGGGAGGCGGCAAAUAUCCUUUGAUCCGGAGAUGUCUGAAUGGGGGAACCCACCUACUUUAAGGUAGGUAUUGCAACAUGAAUACAUAGUGUUGCAAGGCGAACGAGGGGAAGUGAAACAUCUCAGUACCCUUAGGAAAAGAAAUCAAUUGAGAUUCCCUCAGUAGCGGCGAGCGAACGGGGAUCAGCCCAUUAAGUUAUGUGUGUUUUAGUGGAACGCUCUGGGAAGUGCGAACGUAGAGGGUGAUAUUCCCGUACACGAAAGGGCACACAUAAUGAUGACGAGUAGGGCGAGGCACGUGAAACCUUGUCUGAAUAUGGGGGGACCAUCCUCCAAGGCUAAAUACUCCUGACUGACCGAUAGUGAACCAGUACCGUGAGGGAAAGGCGAAAAGAACCCCUGUGAGGGGAGUGAAAUAGAUCCUGAAACCGCAUGCAUACAAGCAGUGGGAGCACCUUCGUGGUGUGACUGCGUACCUUUUGUAUAAUGGGUCAGCGACUUAUAUUCAGUAGCGAGGUUAACCGUAUAGGGGAGCCGUAGAGAAAUCGAGUCUUAAUAGGGCGUUUAGUUGCUGGGUAUAGACCCGAAACCAGGCGAUCUAUCCAUGAGCAGGUUGAAGGUUGGGUAACACUAACUGGAGGACCGAACCCACUGUCGUUGAAAAGCCAGGGGAUGACUUGUGGAUAGGGGUGAAAGGCUAAUCAAGCCUGGUGAUAGCUGGUUCUCCCCGAAAGCUAUUUAGGUAGCGCCUCGGACGAAUACCAUAGGGGGUAGAGCACUGUUUCGGCUAGGGGGUCAUCCCGACUUACCAAACCGAUGCAAACUCCGAAUACCUAUGAGUACUAUCCGGGAGACAGACUGCGGGUGCUAACGUCCGUAGUCAAGAGGAAAACAAUCCAGACCGCCAGCUAAGGCCCCAAAAUCAUAGUUAAGUGGGAAACGAUGUGGGAAGGCAUAGACAGCUAGGAGGUUGGCUUAGAAGCAGCCACCCUUUAAAGAAAGCGUAAUAGCUCACUAGUCGAGUCGGCCUGCGCGGAAGAUGUAACGGGGCUAAAACUAUGUGCCGAAGCUGCGGAUGUAUACUUUGUAUACGUGGUAGGGGAGCGUUCUGUAAGCCGAUGAAGGUGUGUUGAGAAGCAUGCUGGAGGUAUCAGAAGUGCGAAUGCUGACGUGAGUAACGACAAAACGGGUGAAAAACCCGUUCGCCGAAAGACCAAGGGUUCCAGUCCAACGUUAAUCGGGGCUGGGUGAGUCGACCCCUAAGGCGAGGCCGAAAGGCGUAGUCGAUGGGAAAAUGGUUAAUAUUCCAUUACUUCUGUGUAAUGCGAUGAGAGGACGGAGAAGGCUAAAUCAGCCUGGCGUUGGUUGUCCAGGUGAAAGGAUGUAGGCAUGUAUCUUAGGCAAAUCCGGGGUACUCUAUGCUGAGAUCUGAUAGCAAGCUGUACUUGUACAGCGAAGUGGUUGAUGCCAUGCUUCCAGGAAAAGUCUCUAAGCUUCAGUUACACAGGAAUCGUACCCGAAACCGACACAGGUGGUCAGGUCGAGUAGACCAAGGCGCUUGAGAGAACUCUGCUGAAGGAACUAGGCAAAAUGGUACCGUAACUUCGGGAGAAGGUACGCUGUUGUUGGUGAUGGAACUCGCUUCCUGAGCUGACGACAGCCGCAGAAACCAGGCCGCUGCAACUGUUUAUUAAAAACAUAGCACUCUGCAAACACGAAAGUGGACGUAUAGGGUGUGAUGCCUGCCCGGUGCUGGAAGGUUAAUUGAUGGGGUUAGCGUAAGCGAAGCUCUUGAUCGAAGCCCCAGUAAACGGCGGCCGUAACUAUAACGGUCCUAAGGUAGCGAAAUUCCUUGUCGGGUAAGUUCCGACCUGCACGAAUGGCAUAAUGAUGGCGGCGCUGUCUCCAGCAGAGGCUCAGUGAAAUCGAAAUCGCUGUGAAGAUGCAGUGUACCCGCGGCUAGACGGAAAGACCCCGUGAACCUUUACUGCAGCUUGACACUGAACUUUGACCUUACUUGUGUAGGAUAGGUGGGAGGCUUUGAAGCUGGAACGCUAGUUCCAGUGGAGCCGUCCUUGAAAUACCACCCUGGUAAUGUUGAGGUUCUAACUCUGUCCCGUGAUCCGGGACGAGGACCGUGUCUGGUGGGUAGUUUGACUGGGGCGGUCUCCUCCUAAAGAGUAACGGAGGAGUACGAAGGUGCGCUCAGCGUGGUCGGAAAUCACGCGUAGAGUAUAAAGGCAAAAGCGCGCUUAACUGCGAGACCCACAAGUCGAGCAGGUACGAAAGUAGGUCUUAGUGAUCCGGUGGUUCUGUAUGGAAGGGCCAUCGCUCAACGGAUAAAAGGUACUCUGGGGAUAACAGGCUGAUACCGCCCAAGAGUUCAUAUCGACGGCGGUGUUUGGCACCUCGAUGUCGGCUCAUCUCAUCCUGGGGCUGAAGCAGGUCCCAAGGGUAUGGCUGUUCGCCAUUUAAAGAGGUACGCGAGCUGGGUUUAGAACGUCGUGAGACAGUUCGGUCCCUAUCUACCGUGGGCGCUGGAAAUUUGAGAGGAUCUGCUCCUAGUACGAGAGGACCAGAGUGGACGAACCUCUGGUGUACCGGUUGUGACGCCAGUCGCAUCGCCGGGUAGCUAUGUUCGGAAGGGAUAACCGCUGAAAGCAUCUAAGCGGGAAGCCUACCUCAAGAUAAGAUUUCCCUA
rnacentral:rRNA from 1 species